GGAUGAACGCUGGCGGCGUGCCUAAUACAUGCAAGUCGAGCGAACGGACGAGAAGCUUGCUUCUCUGAUGUUAGCGGCGGACGGGUGAGUAACACGUGGAUAACCUACCUAUAAGGCUGGGAUAACUUCGGGAAACCGGAGCUAAUACCGGAUAAUAUUUUGAACCGCAUGGUUCAAAAGUGAAAGACGGUCUUGCUGUCACUUAUAGAUGGAUCCGCGCUGCAUUAGCUAGUUGGUAAGGUAACGGCUUACCAAGGCAACGAUGCAUAGCCGACCUGAGAGGGUGAUCGGCCACACUGGAACUGAGACACGGUCCAGACUCCUACGGGAGGCAGCAGUAGGGAAUCUUCCGCAAUGGGCGAAAGCCUGACGGAGCAACGCCGCGUGAGUGAUGAAGGUCUUCGGAUCGUAAAACUCUGUUAUUAGGGAAGAACAUAUGUGUAAGUAACUGUGCACAUCUUGACGGUACCUAAUCAGAAAGCCACGGCUAACUACGUG
rnacentral:rRNA from 1 species